UCGUCAAGUGUGAUAAUCCUUACUGGUUCUUCCUCUUGGAAGGCAUGAUCUGUGAUUAUACAUCUCUGUGUAAUCAGGGUUUGCAAUACCAUGAUUGUUCCUAUCUGAU
ensembl:snoRNA U8 U8 small nucleolar RNA